UUCUGGCUCAGGAUGAACGCUGGCGGCGUGCAUAACACAUUCAAGUCGAACGGUGAAGCGCUUCGGGCGCGGAGCAGUGGCGGACGGGUGAGUAACGCGUGAGCAACCUGCCGUACAGAGGGGGAUAACACAGGGAAACUUGUGCUAAUACCGCAUAACGCACGGACAUCGCAUGGUGACCGUGCCAAAGAGAAAUUGCUGUACGAUGGGCUCGCGUAUGAUUAGACGGUUGGCGGGGUAACGGCCCACCAAAUCAACGAUCAUUAGCCGAACUGAGAGGUUGAACGGCCACAUUGGAACUGAGAAACGGUCCAGACUCCUACGGGAGGCAGCAGUGGGGAAUAUUGGGCAAUGGGCGAAAGCCUGACCCAAGCGACGCCGCGUGAGGGAAGAAGGUCUUCGGAUUGUAAACCUCUUUCAGCAGGGAAGAAGUAAGUGACGGUACCUGCAGAAGAAGUCACGGCUAACUACGUGCCAGCCGCUGC
rnacentral:rRNA from 1 species